AGGAUGAACGCUGGCGGUCUGCUUAACACAUGCAAGUCGAACGGAGUACCUCGGUACUUAGUGGCGGACGGGUGAGUAACGCGUGAGAAUCUGCCCUUAGGUCGGGGACAACCAUUGGAAACGAUGGCUAAUACCGGAUAAGCCGAGAGGUAAAAGAUUAAUUGCCUAGGGAAGAGCUCGCGUCUGAUUAGCUAGUUGGUGAGGUAAAGGCUCACCAAGGCAUCGAUCAGUAGCUGGUCUGAGAGGAUGAUCAGCCACACUGGGACUGAGACACGGCCCAGACUCCUACGGGAGGCAGCAGUGGGGAAUUUCCGCAAUGGGCGAAAGCCUGACGGAGCAAGACCGCGUGAGGGAGGAAGGCUCGUUGGGUUGUAAACCUUCUUUUCGUUGGGAAGAACAAAAUGACGGUACCCAAGGAAUCAGCAUCGGCUAACUCCGUGCCAGCAGCCGC
rnacentral:rRNA from 1 species